rnacentral:rRNA from 1 species
AUUGACCGCUGGCGGCAGGCUUAACACAUGCAAGUCGAGCGAGCGGCGGACGGGUGAGUAAUGUCUGGGAAACUGCCUGAUGGAGGGGGAUAACUACUGGAAACGGUAGCUAAUACCGCAUACCAUCAGAUGUGCCCCGAUGGGAUUAGCUAGUAGGUGGGGUAAAGGCUCACCUAGGCGACGAUCACUAGCUGGUCUGAGAGGAUGACCAGCCAACAUUGGACUGAGACACGGUCCAGACUCGGACGGUAGGCAGCAGUGGGGAAUAUUGCACAAUGGGCGCAAGACGGAUGAAGCCAUGCCUCGUGUGUGAAAAAGGCCGUAGGGUUGUAAAGCACGUUAAGCGAGGAGUCGUUAAGCGCAGCAGAAGCACCGGCUAACUCCGUGCCAGCAGCCGCGGUAAGAC